CAGUUCACGAUCUCUUGAUAGACUCAACGAGAGCUCCUCGAAUAGCAAAACAAAUUGAACCAUUAGACGAGCAUGGGUUGUGCAUAAGAAGGCAAAUUUAGGAUUUCUUUGCAAAUGAAUGAAAAGAAAAAUGAGAGUGAGAAGACAAAACGAUUCAGAGGCACAAAAAAAGAGAAACAUAAGAAUAAAUUUAAGGUUGAGAAAACAAAAGGUUUCAGAUGACAACAGUAAACGGGUAUGAUUUUAGUGUAAUGCUACUCAACCACCCCGCAUGACACUCGGCUUGACCACAUGAGGUGGAAAGUUUGUUGAAAAAAGAAACAAAACAAUAAAAAAGAAAGGGGCACUUAUUUCAAUCCGUUCACACCUUCGAUCGGAUCAUACCCAUAAUUGGACCAUUUUUCUUCAAUUUUUAGCGGGCAAACUGGGCAAGAUGAUUCUAGGGCAAAUUUGGUGCUAUCUUCAUUUCCAGUGGCUUGAAACCCGACUGCAUCUCCUUCUCUCCUGUGAUUGAAGCGGGGAUAUCCAUUUUCGGUGGUUUGAAGAUAAACCCAUUUGCAUCUCUCUUGUGUUUUUUUUUACCAUAGUUUUGCAAAGGUAGCAGCCUCAGCAAGAGCUACAAAAGUGAGCACGAAAUUGCUUCCACCGAAUAAUCAAUAGCAAGGAUCGAAAGAAGUGUAUUUGCUACUACAAGUGGCGGUUCUUUGUUGAGUAAAUAUGUAGAGAUAAACAUAUCAAUUCUAGGAAGGUUGAAUAAUUGUUUUGGGUUCCAAAGAUUUGGUUCAAAGGAUUCCAACCGCUCUUUCAAGGCUGAGAGGCUAGUCAAUCUCUUCCUGGGACAAAUUGUUAGCAGUCGAUAAAGAACCCAAGAUAGUGCAAACCCAUCUUGAAAACUCCCAUAUUCUGUGGCUUGAAGUGCUUUCAAGGGAGUGAGAAUCAUAACAAAUUUCGGGUUUCUUCAAGAAACGUAAGUAGUUGCAUCUGUUCCACUACCGUGUCUUCGUAUUUACAAAUGAACAUGAAGGAUUAUUGAGAAUUUUCACUAAUUUAUUAAUUUAUUGUUCUUACACCGUUCUCCAGCGACGUCGAAAAUAGGGGAAAAGCUUGCAUUACGUAUCUACUGCACCUAACAUCGUUCACCCGAGAGAUGACUGAAAGAGGUAUUAGUUUGCAUUGGUUUAAUGAUUUUGCAGUUUUUGGUGUAAGAUUUCUACUGUUUUGCAAUAGUAUGACUUUAUGACUCUAGUGUAAUAUUUAGGGGAUUGGUUGUGUGAUUAGCUCAGGUGGUUUUUUUUUUUUAAUUUUUAAUUUUUUUCAUUUCAGCUAUAGUUAUUGCAUACUUUUAAUUUUGAAUUAUCGUUAGAAAAAUUGUUUUAUUGCUGUACAUUAUUCGACAUUGUAAUUGAUUUGUUUGUUGCAGGGAAAGAAAUUUUGGAAUAUGAAGAUGACAUUAUAUCGGUGGAGUCCGAUGGUGAAAAUGUUGUGGAUAAUACGAGCAUACCGGGUGAUGAUAUGUUAGUUGGAGAUGGUGUGAUUACGCCCGAGGUCGGUAUGAAUUUAAGGAUGCAAAUGAAACGUUCGAGUUUUACAAGAGAUAUGCAUACAAAAUUGGUUUCCCAGUUAGAAAAAGAAAUUCGAGAAAGGAUGAUGAUGGAGUAUUGAGAAAUAUUACAUUUGCUUGUAGUCGUGAAGGGAAAAGAAUUAUAAAUACAAGCGGUUCUUUAAAGCCGCAAGCAACCAUUUAGAGUGGAUGUAAAGCCAGGAUCACUGGAUGUUCAGAUAUUUAUGGAGUAAGGAAAAUUAACACAGUACACCUGGAUCACAAUCACAAGACAAGCCCUUUGAAAUCUAGGCUAUAUCGAUACAACCGAGAGUUGAGCGCACAUGUGAAACGAUGACUUGAAGUAAAUGACAUGGCAGAAAUUCUGCUACACAAGAGUUACAACUCUACAGAUGUUGAAGCUGGUGGAUAUGAAAAUAUGACUUACAUCGAACGGGAUUGUCGAAAAUAUGUUGAAAAAGUGAGGCGAUUACGACUUGGAGAGGGGGACGCAUUAGCAAUACAAUCAUAUUUCUCUAAAAUGCAAGCACGAUGCUCAGACUUUUACUUUAGUAUGGAUUUAGAUGACGAUUUACGUCUACAGAAUGUUUUCUGGGAAAAUAAUAGGAGUAGACAGGCAUAUAAGGAGUUCGGUGACGUUGUUACGUUCGACACUACGUACCUCACCAAUAAAUAUGAUAUGUCAUUUGCCCCUUUUUUUGGAGUGAACUACCAUGGACAGUCGACACUCCUUAGAUGUGGUUUGGUGUUGAAUGAGGAUACAGAGUCAUUUGUGUGGCUAUUUCGGAUAUGACUACAAUGUAUGCAUGGACAAGCUCCACAUGGGAUAAUUACAGACCAGGAUAGGGCUAUACAAAAUGCAAUACAAAUUGUGUUCCAUAAUACAAAACAUAGAUGGUGCUUAUGGCACAUACUUAAAAAAUUGUUUGAAAAGUUUGGAUACCAUGAGGAUAAGGGUUCCAUAUUUAGUAAUAUACACAGUUUGGUCUAUGAUUGUCAAUAUGCGGAAGAAUUUGAAAAUGGCUGGAAAGUGAUGAUCGAAACGUUUAACUUGUCUGAUAAUGAAUGGCUGGCGGGUUUGUAUAAGAAUAGGGGACGUUAGGUAUCUUGCUUUUUGAAAACCACAUUUUGGGUAGGUAUGUCAGCAACUCGACGCAUUGAGAGUAUGAAUACAUUUUUUGAUGGUUAUGUACAUUUGAAGACAAUAUUGAAGCAAUUUGUUGAACAAUACGAACGGGCAUUGAGAAGUAAGGUUGAGAAAGAAUUUCAAGCGGACUUCAAGUCCUUCUCGCAAAUGGUGCCGUGUGCAACAAGAUAUGAAAUGGAGAAACAAUUCCAAGCAGUUUACACAAUUUCAAAAUUCAAGGAAGUUCAAAAGGAGUUCACAGGUAAGGUUUAUUGCGACCUCAUAUCUGUUUCGGAGGGACUAUCGGGGAUGACUUAUGAGAUACAAGAAGACGUAAUGCAUGACGGUUCGAAGAAAAAAACCUUUUUCGUCUCAUCUCAAAGAGACAAAUGUGAAAUCACUUACAGUUGUCACAAUUUUGAGUUUCGAGGGAUUAUUUGCAGACAUACUAUUGAAGUAUUGGUCUGUAAUGAUAUCAAAUCAGUUCCAGAAAGGUAUAUAAUACGGAGAUGGCGGCGAGAUGUCAGUAGAGCCCACACGAGGGUAGCAGAGCAUUAUGAUGGUAUGGUUAGUUCUCCCGAACAAUUGAUGUACGACAAAAUGUGUCAACGUUUUGCUACAUUGGCGAACAUGACGAUAGACGAUGAAGUCAAAUCCAAUGUCAUAAUUGAGUGGAUUGAUAGUCAAUGUAAACAAGUGAUGACGUUGAAGUCAAGUACUAGUAGUAAUAUCUUGUCCCCGCAUAUUACUCAAACAUCAUCCGAGUGUAGAGCAUCACUGGAUAUUGGAGGCGGUAGCAUCAGGGAUCUAUAAUGUGCGAAAAGAAAAGGUGCCCCUAGGAAACUUCGGAAGAAGAGCCAAUUGGAAUUGAAUAUGAACAGAGUUAAGGUAAUGCCCAUAUUUUGGUACCCAAAUGUUGUAAAGUUAUUGUAGAGAUAAUGUCUAAUACCAUUCCUUGUUUUGUAGCCAACUUCGAGUUCAACGAAGGGAAAGAAACCGAAGGUAAGCAAGUAGUACGGGAAAUGAUGCACCCAUCUUUCAGUCACCUCAUCAAUUACACAUGCAGCUACCUUUCUCAUAUACGCAUCUCCUUAUGGUUAGUACUUAGCUUAUGGUUUAAUUGCAACGAAAAUAUAAGAUGUGCUGAUAAUGUUAUUUCAUGUAGGGUGGCAACCUAAAUCUUCAAUUCAUACAACACUUACAGUCCACAUGUGUCAACCCUCCAUCCUCAACAUAUCUUUUAUUCAACAUGCAAGGUAACAUAGUUGUUAGAUAGAACAUAAUAGUUUACAAACAUUAUUCAUUACGUACAUUCAUUACUAUAUAAUAAACAACCUUAAGUGAAGUUGACAUAUGAAGGUAUGGCUACAAGACAUAUGAAUGAUGUUGUUGACAAUGAAACACGACAGUUAGAUAAUCACCUUGAUGGUGGAAACAUCAUCAAUCCCAAUAUAUGAGCUCUCGGCUGUGCUGUAACCAUAUGAAGUGAGUAAUUAUUUGCCAUAUAACUUCGUAGCAACGUGGAUAUUAUUCCACAAUGUGUCCAUUUUUUGCUAUUUUUGAUGUUUACAAUUAUAAUCAUGCAAUGGAUUGGAGAGUUUUCACUUUCUGUUUUGGAGGUUGGAAUCUUCAGGUCGUGUUACUUGGCUACUAUUGAUAAUUACUUUGUUAUUUUUUUUAAUUUUAUUUUACACUCAACUAUCGUGAGGCUCCAGAUGUGCGAGUUUCUUUUGAUUUGACAUCUUACAAGUGGCAGAUGCGUGCUUGCAUUUGUUGUCCUCAAAAUUCUUAUGGACUAUGAUUGUUUACGCUCCAGAUUUGCAGCAUUCAGUCCUACUAGCUCUAUAGUUUUAGCUUCCCAAUCCUUUUGGUUGAUUAGUUUAGUUAGAACUUAGAAUGUUGUUGUCCUAAUAUAUAUCAUAGCGUUGUUUUAAGACUUGUGAUUUUGUCUCUAUGUAUAUUAUAUGGAUAAGUAAGUGCAGCAUUUCUGUUAAAAUUAGUGUGAAUUUAUCAUUGAUUGGUAUUUGACAUUUCAUGUCUUCAAGCUGAUGUUUUUUCUAAUUUGCUAUUGUUUAACAAGCUUUCUCAUAUUCGUGGUUAGCCUUGUUGAACUUGAAACUUACCCUCGGUCACUUUUACCUGAAAGGUAAUUUGAGAUUUGGAUAUAAAGGUGGUUUUGGGUUUAUCGAUUUUGGGUUUAUCAGAUGUGUCUAGUGGAUUUUGUGUUUUAUUAAAUGGCUAGGAACAGUUAUCAAGAAAUGUUUUGUGAGACCUUGUUUUAGAAGAUUGCAUUGUGAACAACUCUGAGUAAGAGCAGGGAGUUUACAAGGAGCUGUGGAGAUCAUUACUAAUUGUGGGGAUGAAGAGUUGAAGGAAUUCUUGUCUAAGAAGAAUGAAUCAGGCGAAAUCAUGCUUUAUGUUGCUGCAGAAAGUGGUCGUAUUGGUUACUGCAUAGUCUGUUCCAUUUGCUUGAUUUUGUGAUCUAUCAACCUUGAAAAUCUGAUAUUAUUUAAUUAUGUUUCGGAUAUUAAUUACUUUUACUACCAUUUUACUCUUGGAAAUUUCAGCAAGAAUGAAGAAGAAAAAAGCUAGUUAUUUUUCUCUUUGAUUUCAAUGCCAAGCGGCUGUGAUUGUUCGGGUAUCUUGAUGAACUGUAAAUAGCUUGUGAGCUUAGCCUAUCUGGAUAAGCUUAUAAAAAUUACUUGUGAAG
rnacentral:lncRNA from 1 species